CCACUAAAAACAAACGUAAAUCCACUACUAACACAACUAAAAAAAACAUAUUCACUAUUCAAAAAUCAGCUAUUAAAACGUAAGUCACUACUAUAUCCUGGAAAAAAUGCAAGAUCAGUACACCACCACCAAAAAGGCCGAUGAGGGUCACUGUAUCAAUCUGAUCAAGAAAAAAAUUAAUUUAUAAGAAUUAAUGGUCCUUUUCACAAUAUCGUUAUCAAAUAGGAACCUUCCCCACAAAGCCUAAAACCAUUGAAUAAAGAUGAUUGAAGCGAAAAAAAAAAAUAUUUACCUUUUUCUACCACCCAUAUAUAUUGUUCGACAACGGUGAAGAGAGGGAAAAUAAGGGUGGGGGCUGGGGCUGGCGACGGGCGGGGGCUGGGCGGCGCCGGGCACCGGCUGGGGCGGUGCCGGGAGGUGGAUCAGGCGGCGCCGGGAGGUGGCUCGGGCGGCGGCUAGGGCGGGGCCGGGAGGUGGCUCAGGCAUCGGCUGGGGCAUUG
rnacentral:lncRNA from 1 species